GAGAGGGAGAGACAGACGGAGGGAGCUCAAGGACAACGGCGGUAUCAGGCUGCUUCGCGCUAGCGCCAGAAGGCUGCUGCUUCCACAACAGACUUAGCUAAAGCUUACUGGGAACAGGCCUCAGUGGAAAGCCAUAUGGACACAUUAGCAGACAUGGCGAAAGACAAGACAAGGCAAUACCUAAGAGCAUCGUCGGCAGAAGCUGGAGUAGUCCACGUUUGGUGACUCUUUUGGAUGUUGUCCCAUCGUCACUGUGCCAAAUGGAAUAUACGCUCAAGAAUGCAUCAUUUUUGUGUUGAAGAAAUUACCAUACUGUGGACAUUUACAACAAGCUAUUGCACCACGUAGGAGGUAACUUGGGGUGAAGGUGACUUUCCACUACCAGCUCACAUGGAUCGAGCUUGAGAGGAUAUUAUUGCGUAGCAUUGUACUCUGGGUGGAUGCUGUGGGAUAUAUCGACAUGCAUGAACAUGAACCUACUCGAGGUGUUCAGUUCUGCACAUCACGGAGCAUACUGACUACACAUGGCUGUGGAGAAGGAGAAGGAGACAGAGGGAGGAAGCUCCAGAGGAGCCAUGGCUGCUGCUGCUGGGUGUGUGUGUGUGUGCGCCAGCAGGCUCCAGAGAUGAGGCCUGCAGCUGCAUGAACAGCGUCUGCAGGCCGGAGACGCAGGAGGCAUCAGCCCCUGGGGAAGCCAGAGAGAAGCCUCUGCUAUUGAUCAGGCUCAGCGUGGGCAUGCUCUCCACCAGGCCUCACGUGCUGGGGACAGGGCUGAGCCUGAGCAGAGCAGAGCAGAGCUGGGGGAUGUACUGGAGAGGCCCAGACUGAGGGAUUACCACCAGACACUGAUCCCAGAACAGGGGAUUUAGCCGCUUUUUGUCGAGUUACAGGCCGGGGUCAUUAACAGGAAAAUGAAACACAGUGGAAACGAUGCUGUGCACUAAAAUGGAACUAGAACUACAGAUGGCUUGUAAACAGACAUUCACACAGACAUUCACACAAACACACGCCUACAGAAACAGCAUGAUGUUAUUGAACAACACUGAUAUGUCUGAAGCAUAACAUCAUAUCUACUUCAGUAUGCAUUCCAGUCUCCAGUUUUCAUUCUGUUUUCUGAAAAAAAGUGUUUUCUUUUAUGAUAGCAACAAACAGGGACUGAGACGUCUUGUCUUACAGAGUCAUUGCAAACAAAACAAAAUACAGGUUCCAACACCUUCUCAUUGUGUGGCAAAGCCUGUUCUUUGUCUGAUAUAGUGGUGCUGAGGUCUAUUCAUUUGGCUGCAGACGCAGCAGUGCACCAAGGACCGGGGAACCUGCUAAGGAGCCCUGAUCGAGUACUUUAAAUAAUGCCUGUGUUUGCAGAAUGUGGUUUCUCAGGGAAAACACACACAGAGAGAAAGAGAGAGAGAGAGAGAAAGUAAGUCACAUGUGGUGAGGACAAAGAGAGAGAUGGACGCCUACAAGGACGUAAACAUCUGCUUAACUUUGCUUUUAAUUCAACUCACUCCAAAGUAAAUAAUAAUAAAUUAUGAAAUGUCACUAAUGCUCAUUGUGUAGACCUACAAACAAGUCUUGAGUGUACUAAAUAUAUUGUUUAAAGGGA